UACGUAGGUGGCAAGCGUUGUCCGGAUUUACUGGGCGUAAAGAGCGCGCAGGCGGUCGUGCAAGUCGCGUGUGAAAGCCCCCGGCUCAACUGGGGAGGGUCACGCGAUACUGCUCGACUCGAAGGCAGGAGAGGGAAGUGGAAUUCCCGGUGUAGUGGUGAAAUGCGUAGAUAUCGGGAGGAACACCAGUGGCGAAGGCGACUUCCUCGGCCU
rnacentral:rRNA from 1 species